rnacentral:rRNA from 1 species
AACGAACGCUGGCGGCAGGCCUAACACAUGCAAGUCGAACGCUCGUAGCAAUACGAGAGUGGCAGACGGGUGAGUAACGCGUGGGAACCUUCCCAGUGGUACGGAAUAGCUCAGGGAAACUUGAGGUAAUACCGUAUACGCCCUUCGGGGGAAAGAUUAUCGCCAUUGGAUGGGCCCGCGUCGGAUUAGCUAGUUGGUGGGGUAAUGGCUCACCAAGGCGACGAUCCGUAGCUGGUCUGAGAGGAUGAUCAGCCACACUGGGACUGAGACACGGCCCAGACUCCUACGGGAGGCAGCAGUGGGGAAUAUUGGACAAUGGGCGCAAGCCUGAUCCAGCCAUGCCGCGUGAGUGACGAAGGCCCUAGGGUUGUAAAGCUCUUUUGGCGGGGAAGAUAAUGACGGUACCCGCAGAAUAAGCUCCGGCUAACUUCGUGCCAGCCGCCGCAGUAACAC